AUUGAACGCUGGCGGCAUGCUUUACACAUGCAAGUCGAACGGGCUUGGGGGCUUGCUCCCAAGUUAGUGGCGAACGGGUGAGUAAUACAUCGGAACGUACCGUGUAGUGGGGGAUAACGUAGCGAAAGUUACGCUAAUACCGCAUACGAUCUACGGAUGAAAGCAGGGGACCUUCGGGCCUUGUGCUAUACGAGCGGCCGAUGUCUGAUUAGCUGGUUGGUGAGGUAAAGGCUCACCAAGGCGACGAUCAGUAGCGGGUCUGAGAGGAUGAUCCGCCACACUGGGACUGAGACACGGCCCAGACUCCUACGGGAGGCAGCAGUGGGGAAUUUUGGACAAUGGGGGCGAACCCUGAUCACGCCAUUCCGCGUGCGUGAAGAAGGCCCUAGGGUUGUAAAGCACUUCAAUU
rnacentral:rRNA from 1 species